CAGAAUUACCUUUACUCAACAGAAUGGUAAAGCAGAAAUCUCAGCGCAAGAUGAUCUGCCUUCAAUCAAUGUGAACAAAAUGAUAUCGACCAAGCAGAAUUAUAGAACAUAGUGUGACAAAGACAACUACAGCCACUAUCCCUCCUAUAACAGCGUGGUCCGGUCCAGUCUGUCCAGCCAAAGCAUUGGGGUCUAGGGGGGAAAAAUAACAGUAUGACAGAUUAUUCUGAUACGAUGUGAAAUGCAAAUAUCCUGAUGAUGGGGUAUAAAACAACUGUUUAGAAAAAAAUCACUUUAGAAAUAUUUACAAAAGUUAUUCCUUCAGUCCAUUCCCUACUCUCUUAUCAGUAAAAUAGCACUGCUUGCAUCCCUAGAUUUUUAAAACACUGAGAAUGUCACAGUAUGAAAGGAGAGAGGAACUCUUUAGCAGGGAUUACUAAAUGGGAAAGGUUUCUGGUUUUGUCCUAGUCAUUUUUCAACUGGAAAUCUGGCCACAGAUAUUUAUAGAAACAAAAACAAGGAA